rnacentral:rRNA from 1 species
GACGAACGCUGGCGGCGUGCUUAACACAUGCGAGUCGAACGGAAAGGCCCUGCUUUUGUGGGGUGCUCGAGUGGCGAACGGGUGAGUAACACGUGAGUAACCUGCCCUUGACUUUGGGAUAACUUCAGGAAACUGGGGCUAAUACCGGAUAGGAGCUCCUGCUGCAUGGUGGGGGUUGGAAAGUUUCGGCGGUUGGGGAUGGACUCGCGGCUUAUCAGCUUGUUGGUGGGGGAGUGGCUUACCAAGGCAUUGACGGGUAGCCGGCCUGGGAGGGUGACCGGCCACAUUGGGACUGCGAUACGGCCCAGACUCCUACGGGGGGCAGCAGUGGGGAAUAUUGCCCAAUGGGCGGAAGCCUGAUGCGGCAACCCCGCGUGCGGGAUGACGGCCUUCGGGUUGUAAACCGCUUUCGCCUGUGACGAAGCGGGUGUGACGGUAAUGGGUAAAGAAGCACCGGCUAACUACGUG